GCCGCUGUAGCUCAAUUCGUAGAGCAUCGCACACCAAAUGCGAAGGUUGUGGGUUCGGUUCCCACCUGCGGCA
rnacentral:tRNA from 1 species